rnacentral:misc_RNA from 1 species
GAUGAAGAACGUAGCGAAAUGCGAUACGUAAUGUGAAUUGCAGAAUUCAGUGAAUCAUCGAAUCUUUGAACGCACAUUGCGCCCGCCAGUAUUCUGGCGGGCAUGCCUGUUUGAGUGUCAUUAAAUUCUCAACUACACUGACUUUGAAUUGGUGUGGCUUGGAUUUGGGGGGGAAAAUUGUUGUGGGCUUUUUGUAUAGUCUGCUCCCCUGAGAUUGAUUAGCGGUACCUUUGUGGAACUGUCUACAGGUGUGAUAAUUAUCUACAUCCUAGACAUCUGCUGGAAUGCUGCUUUCUAAACCUUACUUGUAUUGACAAUCUUGACCUCAAAUCAGGUAGGACUACCCGCUGAACUUAAGCAUAUCAAUAAGCGGAGGA